GCCCGGAGCUUGCUCCGGAUCCCUUAGUGGCGAACGGGUGAGUAUCGCGUGGGAAUCUACCUAGAAGUGGGGAAUAACUGUUGGAAACGACAGCUAAUACCGCAUAAUCCCUUCGGGGCAAAGGCUUCGGCCGCUUUUAGAUGAGCCCGCGUUAGAUUAGGCUGUUGGUGAGGUAAUGGCUCACCAAACCUACAAUCUAUAGCUGGUCUGAGAGGAUGAUCAGCCACACUGGGACUGAGACACGGCCCAGACUCCUACGGGAGGCAGCAGUGGGGAAUAUUGGACAAUGGGGGAAACCCUGAUCCAGCAAUGCCGCGUGAGUGAUGAAGGCCUUAGGGUUGUAAAACUCU
rnacentral:rRNA from 1 species